GGCGAACGCUGGCGGCGUGCUUAACACAUGCAAGUCGAACGGAAAGGCCCUGCUUUUGUGGGGUGCUCGAGUGGCGAACGGGUGAGUAACACGUGAGUAACCUGCCCUUGACUCUGGGAUAACUUCAGGAAACUGGGGCUAAUACCGGAUAGGAGCUCCUGCUGCAUGGUGGGGGUUGGAAAGUUUCGGCGGUUGGGGAUGGACUCGCGGCUUAUCAGCUUGUUGGUGGGGUAGUGGCUUACCAAGGCUUUGACGGGUAGCCGGCCUGAGAGGGUGACCGGCCACAUUGGGACUGAGAUACGGCCCAGACUCCUACGGGAGGCAGCAGUGGGGAAUAUUGCACAAUGGGCGGAAGCCUGAUGCAGCAACGCCGCGUGCGGGAUGACGGCCUUCGGGUUGUAAACCGCUUUCGCCUGUGACGAAGCGUGAGUGACGGUAAUGGGUAAAGAAGCACCGGCUAACUACGUG
rnacentral:rRNA from 1 species